UCCUUCCUUCCAUUCACCUUCUUUCUUUCUUUCUUUCUUUCUUUCUUUCUUUUGUUUUGCACAAUUGCUUCAUUCUUGUGUUGGUGUUAAUCUUGAAAGAGUACUGUGAUCAGUAUUUUGAUUUUGGAUUUUAUCUCUCACAAAAGCAAAGGAGUAACUACAGUUAGUCUAGGAAUGGCAUGUGAAAAUGAAACAUUCAGAAUAUGUAGUAAUGUAUCUGAAGCAUUGAGUUACAUGCCCAGUCCCCUACAAUACACUGAGCUUAACACUCAAAGUGAGCUGUGGAUAUUCUGGAGCCAAUACAAUAACGAGUUCCCUACUGUCUUUCCCAUCACUGCUGCUACUACUAUCUAUCAUGAUACCAUUAAGGAGAAAAUCACAUCUGCUCUUAAGAAUGCCUACAUAUCUGACUACUACGGAUGCUGGUUGGUUCAAUUUUGGGCACCUGUGACUACUAAAGAUCAGAUUUUUCUAACAACUUGUGACCUACCUUUUGGUCUUACAAAACUCCAUGAAGGACUUUGUUAUUAUAGGUCAGUGUCUGAAAUUUAGAAUUCCUAUUGUAACUGAGAAUGAGAAUCAACUUGGCCCUACCGGACGCGUGUUCAAACAUGGUUUGCCUGAAAUGAGUCCGAAUAUUUCGCGCUAUUCUGCUGCUGAUUUUCCUCAGCAUAGCUCGGCUUUUACUGCUGUUUAGGGAACUAUUUGGCUGUACCGGUUUUUGAGCCGCUUAGUAAUGAAUGCGCUGGAGUACUUGAGAUCAUAGGGGAUAAGAAGGGAAGCUUCUCUCAAGACCUCGUUCAAAUGGUCUAUGAAAUGCUUAAGAAGGUGGAGUUGAGAUCAUCAAACAUGUACGGCCACCCUGAUAAGAAGGGCCUUAGAGGGCUAGAACGCGCCCAAAAAGAGCUCGGGGAUCAGUUGAAUUUUU